UACGUAGGGUGCAGGCGUUAAUCGGAAUUACUGGGCGUAAAGCGUGCGCAGGCGGUUUGCUAAGACAGGUGUGAAAUCCCCGGGCUUAACCUGGGAACUGCGCUUGUAACUGGCAAGCUAGAGUGUGGCAGAGGGGGGUGGAAUUCCACGUGUAGCAGUGAAAUGCGUAGAGAUGUGGAGGAACACCGAUGGCGAAGGCAGCCCCCUGGGAUAAGACUGACGCUCAUGUACGAAAGCGUGGGGAGCAAACAGG
rnacentral:rRNA from 1 species